CACAGAAGACCAGCCAUGGAGUUCGGGCAGAGCUGGGUUUUCCUUGUUGCUAUUUUCAAAGGUGUCCAGUGUGAGGUGCAGCUGGUGGAGUCUGGGGGAGGCUUGGUUCAGCCUGGGGGGUCCCUGAGACUCUCCGGUGCAGCCUCUGCAUUCACCUUCAGUGACGACUACAUGGAGUGGGUCCGUCAGGCUCCAGGAAAGGGGCUGGAGUGGGUUGGACAAAUUAAUCCUAAUGGGGGUACCACAUUCCUCAUGGAUUCCGUGAAGGGCCGAUUCACCAUCUCCAGAGACAACGCCAAGAACACGCUUUAUCUGCAAAUUAACAGCCUGAAAAUAGAGGACACGGCCGUGUAUUACUGUACUGGACACACAAUGAGGGGAGGUCAGUGUGAGCCCAGACACAAAUCUCCCUGCAGGGGCGCGCGGGGCCACCAGGGGGCGCUCGGGACCCACUGA